rnacentral:rRNA from 1 species
UACAGAGGGUGCGAGCGUUAAUCGGAAUUACUGGGCGUAAAAGCGCGCGAGGCGCUUUGCAAGUCGGGUGUGAAAUCCCCAGGCUUAACCUGGGAACUGCAUUCGAGACUGCAUUGCUAGAGUAUGGGAGAGGGAAGUGGAAUUUCCGGUGUAGCGGUGAAAUGCGUAGAUAUCGAGAGGAACACCUGCGGCGAAGGCGAGUUGCUGGGCCGACACUGACGCUGAUGCGCGAAAGCCAGGGGAGCGAACGGGAU